rnacentral:rRNA from 1 species
ACAUUUCUUUAAGGUUAAAAUUUAAGGUAGGUUCUGCCCUAUGAUUAAUAUUAAAUGGCUGCAGUAUUCUGACUGUGCAAAGGUAGCAUAAUAAUUAGCUUCUUAAUUAGGGGCUUGUAUGAAUGAAUUAAUGAGAAAUUUAUUUUAUUAUAAUUAUUUUUGUAAAUUAAUUUUUAAGUUAAAAAGCUUAGAUUUAUUUUUGGGACGAUAAGACCCUAUAGAACUUUUAUUAUUAUAAAUAUUUUUUCAUUUAGUAUAUUAUUUAAAAAGUGUUUAUAAUAUUUUUUACUGGGGUGGUAAAUAAAUAUUUAACUUUAUUUAUUAGUUUCAUUAAUUUAUGUAUUAAUGAUCUUAUUUAGAUUAAAAGAUUAAGUUACCUUAGGGAUAACAGCGUAAUUUUAAUGGAGAGUUCAUAUUUAUAUUAAAGUUUGCGACCUCGAUGUUGAAUUAAGAUAAAGUUAAGGGGUAGGUUCUUUAAAUUUAGGUCUGUUCGACCUUUAAAUUCUUACGUGAUCUG